rnacentral:rRNA from 1 species
UUCGCCCUUAGAGUUUGAUCCUGGCUCAGGACGAACGCUGGCGGCGUGCCUAACACAUGCAAGUCGAACGGGGAUAUAUUGAAGGUUUUCCUGAGAUCCAUUCUAGUGGCAGAGGGGCGAAUCACGCGUGAACUUUCUGCCAUGUUCUGGGAGAUUUCGCCGAGAAGUCGACUCAUAACACCACGUGAAUCUAUUAUAUCACCUGGUCAUAUAUUCAAACCGCCAGCGGUACGACAUGAGCUCUCAUCCAAUUCCCUAACCGGUCAGGUAAUGGCCCACCAAAGAGACCAUUGGUGGCCAAACUGAUAGGUGGAUCGACCACAUUACCACUCACACUCGGACCAAACUCCUACCGGAAGCCCCACUGGGGAAUAUUGCCCAAUGUAUGGAACUCUGACGCAAACCCUCCACGAGAAAGAUCAAGGGUUUCAUAUUGGACACCUCUUCGAUCACCCACGACAUUGAUGGUACCAGAGGAACAAGCCACGGCUAACUAUGUGCCAGCAGCCGCGGUAAUACAGUAGGUGGCAAGCGUUGUUCGGAAUUACUGGGUGUAAAGGGUGUGUAGGCGGGAAGGCAAGUCAGAUGUGAAAUCUCCUGGCUUAACUGUGAAGGAGCAUGUGAGACUGUUUUUCUUGAGUAUUGGAGAGGAAAGUGGAAUUCUUAGUGUAGCGGUGAAAUGCGUAGAGAUUAGGAGGAACACCAGUGGCGAAGGCGGCUUUCUGGACAGUACCUGACGCUGAGGCGCGAAAGCCUGGGGAUCAAACAGGAUUAGAUACCCUGGUAGUCCACGCUGUAAAC